rnacentral:tRNA from 1 species
GUUUAUGUAGUUUAAAUAAAACCAGUUAUUUUCAAUAACUAAAUAAUGACAUUUCUUAAACU